rnacentral:misc_RNA from 1 species
AACGCACAUUGCGCCCUCUGGUAUUCCGGGGGGCAUGCCUGUUCGAGCGUCAUUACAACCUCAAGCUCAGCUUGGUAUUGGUGACCCGCCCCACCCGGGGCGUCACUGAAUAAUAGCGGCGUAGCUGCUCGGCUUCUAAGCGUAGUAACAUUGUUUCGCUUUGGGAGUUCCGGGUGGAUUUAUUGCCGGACAACCCUCUAUUUUACAAGGUUGACCUCGGAUCAGGUAGGGAUACCCGCUGAACUUAA